GCAGACCAACGCUAAUCUCGUCGGAGCCUCCGACCAGCUCUAGUGUCGCCGGGGGCCGCCGCGAUGAAGCCUCUCGACCGCGGCGGGGAAGCGGUUGGUGGAAUCUUCCUCGGCGUUGACUUCACGAAGCCGGCCGGCCGCCCGGCACGUUGUCUCCCUCGGCGCACUAAGGGGCGUGGGGCUCAUGGUGUGCUUCCAGUUUAAGCUCUGGUGGAUGGCGCAACGGAUAGGCGAGGAGCAUGCAGGUGUUAUCGGUAUCGAUUUCAACAAAGAUCGAUUACUGGAUCUUAACGAAGAUAUGAUGCAAUCAGAGCAGCAAGCCUUGGAUGCGCCAGCAACGAAAGAGGAUUUGGAAACGGGCUCACUGGGCCAACAAGACGGAAUGGGAAGUGAAUCAAGCAAACCAUAUGGGGGGCAGAACAAAUUGUUCGUAUACGUGCAGAGGAACGGCGAUGACGACUAAACGGCAGCCAGAUCUCGUGCAUUGUGUUGAAUCUUGCUUAGCAAAGCUGCUGCGGCUGGAUCUGGCAUCCAGGCCAAGUGCUCCAUGUGUUCACCCUGCACUGAAGCUCGAGCUCCUGCCUCUGGGUGCGCAAGCUGCAGUGCUUCCUUGAGGGAGCAUCACUUGUUCCUGUGCAUUGCCUCAAUAAGCAGUAACCGGUGGAGGGCGAUGCUAGGCAUCACAGCACAAUGCCGGCCAAGAGUUGGAUCAAGUCAGGUGCGCAAGGGAAGCACUCGACCUCUCAUCCAGCCCAACCUGCAGUCCUCCACAUAUGUCAUAGAGCAAAGAGCACGUGUGUAACAAUUACUAUUAUUUCAUGUUUGAUAACAUAUUUGCGUCACCCGCAAAUUUUGGUAAAUAUCUUUUGCAUAGAUAUUGAUUAAAAGAUAAUUAAAUAUUUUUAGCAUCCAAAA